AUGAAAGAACACUUUGAUGUUCGCAACGUGAGUGGAAUUGACCGCUCUGAGAGAUCACUUCGGUCCCGGUGGUUGAAAAUCAACUCAGAUUGUCAAAGGUGGGCGGCAUGUCAAGAGGCGGUUGACAAGUUGAACCCAAGUGGCACAAAUGAGGACGAUAGAAACUUGUUCGAAGAAGAGGAGAGGAAAACCAAGAAGGGGAAGAUCAAGAAAGGAAGGAUCUUUACCUUGCCUCAUUGCUAUGAAGUGUUGAAGGAUGAUGAGAAAUGGAAGAAGCGUGAAGAUUUGGAUGAUUUGCAUUUGAGCACCAAACGCAAGCGAACAAUUGAGUUGAAUGAUGAUGAUGAUGAGGAGGAUGAUGCAUCAAGUGAUGACGACAAGAGAAGCCCCACACCCAACUCGGUUUCAUACUCGAAGCCAAAACGGCCGGAUGAGUGCAAGAAAGACAAAACAGAAAAGAAGACGAGGAAAGGAGAUGAUGAGAUCAAAAAUGCUAUGGAAGCAAUUGUCAACGCAAGAAGAGAAGCCAACGAGGUGAGGAAAAUGGCAAGAAACCAAGAUGCCGCGGCCGAGGAGAGGAGGUUGGCGGCCGAGGAGAGGAGGGUGGCGGCCGAGGAGAGGAAGGUGUCUUUGGAGGAGAGGAAGGUGAGCAAUGAGGAGCGAACUAGAUUGUUGGAAUGGGAGAAGCACUUGUUCUUUCUUGGACACAUCUAA
rnacentral:rRNA from 1 species